UACAGAGGUGGCAAGCGUUGUUCGGAAUUACUGGGCGUAAAGGGCGCGUAGGCGGUCUUGUCAGUCCCUUGUGAAAUCCCCCCGGCUCAACUGGGGGAACUGCACGGGAAACAGCAGGGCUUGAGUUCGGGAGAGGGAAGCGGAAUUCCGGGUGUAGCGGUGAAAUGCGUAGAUAUCCGGAGGAACACCGGUGGCGAAGGCGGCUUCC
rnacentral:rRNA from 1 species